UCACUCUGCUUCUCUACAGAUGACACAAACAAGAUACAACAUGUUAAUUAGUAAAAAGUAAAGCAUGUAUCAAUGUUCUUAUCUAAGUCUUUGCAAAAGAUUUCAAACUAUCCCAUAUCAUAUCCUGUUUCUGUUUUCUGUUUAUCUCUAAACAACAUGGCUAAACUAACUGUGAGAUGCAGUUGAAACAUUAGUGAAAUGCUUAGCUUUAAACCUGUUGAUCUUCAUUGCAGUGCGCUGCAUUCUUUCUACCAUCCAGACAUGGGUCCACUUUGACGAACACCAAAGCAUCAGGAAAGAUUCUAAAUGGGCCCAGGGCCUUCUUGAGGAAGGUGAUGUAAGCCAGAGCCACCGCCGCGCUGAGGUAGAAGAACGCCGCCAGGCCGUGCGGCAGCCCAAGCAGAACUGUUCUUGUGACCCCCCGCUACAAAGAUGAUCAUCCAGAGGAAGGUCAUGACGAAGCAGAAGACAGA